GGUCCGGCCUGCCCGGUGGGCAUGUCCUAAACGGCUGCAGCUAAAACUGUACUAAGGUAGCGCGAUAAAUUGUCCUUUAAUUGGGGGAAAGUAUGAAGGUCAGACGCAGAAAAACUGUAUAGAAACAUCAUAAAAACUUUACUUGUAGGUGAAAAGGCCUAAAAGGUUUUAUUAGACGAGAAGACCCCGUGGAGCUUAGCAAACUUUUGCCUAGGAGGCAAAAAUGAAUGUUUAGCCGGGGAAGACGGGAAGGGCUAAAGUGCCUUCUUUUAUGAGCAAAGAUCCGGAAUGUCCGGUAAGAGGAAGAUAGCUACCCCGGGGAUAACAGCGCAAUGCCCUAGUUAAGUCCAUAUUUAAUAGGGCGAUUGCGACCUCGAUGUUGAAUCAGAGAAUCUACUUGGUGCAGCAGCUAGGUAAGAGGGACUGUUCGUCCUUUUAUUCUCUAC
rnacentral:rRNA from 1 species